rnacentral:sRNA from 1 species
CUUAUACCUUGUGCAAGGUUAAUCGUCUUGGAAAAAAAAAAAAAAAACAACUUUGUCCAUUCUGUACUGCUUUUUCUGCAUCAGGGCAGUGAGCCCUCUCUCCAGGCAUCUGGCCCAACUCCUCUGGGCUCU